rnacentral:rRNA from 1 species
CCUACGGGGGGCAGCAGUGGGGAAUAUUGCGCAAUGGGCGAAAGCCUGACGCAGCGACGCCGCGUGGAGGAUGAAGGCCUUCGGGUCGUAAACUCCUGUCAAGAGGGAAGAACCGUAUGCGGAAUAAUACGCCGCAUGCCUGACGGUACCUCUAGAGGAAGCACCGGCUAACUCCGUGCCAGCAGCCGCGGUAAUACGGAGGGUGCAAGCGUUAAUCGGAAUCACUGGGCGUAAAGCGCGCGUAGGCGGCUUGGUAAGUCAGGUGUGAAAGCCCCCGGCCCAACCGGGGAAUUGCACUUGAUACUGCUAGGCUAGAGUUCAGGAGAGGGUGGCGGAAUUCCAGGUGUAGGAGUGAAAUCCGUAGAUAUCUGGAGGAACACCGGUGGCGAAGGCGGCCACCUGGACUGACACUGACGCUGAGGUGCGAAAGCGUGGGUAGC